rnacentral:rRNA from 1 species
GACGAACGCUGGCGGCGUGCUUAACACAUGCAAGUCGAACGGAAAGGCCCUGCUUUUGUGGGGUGCUCGAGUUGCGAACGGGUGAGUAACACGUGAGUAACCUGCCCUUGACUUUGGGAUAACUUCAGGAAACUGUGGCUAAUACCGCAUAGGAGCACCUGCUGCAUGGUGGGGGUUGGAAAGUUUCGGCGGUUGGGGUUGGACGUGCGGCUUAUUAGCUUGUUGUUGUUGUAGUGGUUUACAAAGGCGUUGACGGGUAGCCGGCCUGAGAGGGUGACCGGGCACAGUGGGACAGAGGAGGGGGCGAGACGGAAACGGGAGGAAGCGGUGGGGAAUAUUGCAAGAAAGGCGGAAGCAUGAUGCAGCAACGCCGGGUGCGGGAUGACGGCCGUAGGGUUGUAAAGAGUGUGCGACUGUGAAGAAGAGUGAGUGACGGUAAUGUGUAAAGAAGCACCGGCUAACUACGUG